rnacentral:misc_RNA from 1 species
AUUAAUAAUGAUAGCCUCUUAAAUGAUGGACUCCAUCACUUGCCUUGCUGCCGACAUUCAGUUCUCCUUUUUGUAGAUCCCUGUGGUUCAAAGUGUGUCUCAGAACCGAACACAACAUUACCACUGUUGUUCUUUAUUUUUUAUAAACCUCAUAAUCCUAGCUCCUUGCUUCGAUUGAUAAAUUCCAUCCAUUCAAUUAGACAUGGGUUUGCUUCCACUUCCAAAAUCUUUGCCUUUAAUGGCUCUUUUAUGGGCAAUUUUAUUCACUCUGAUGACUUCUUCCACAACUCCGUUUGCAUCUGGUGAUGAUGAUGAUGGUAAGCUAUCAGCAUAUGAAGUUCUUGCAACAUAUGACUUUCCAAGGGGUCUUCUUCCAGUAGGGGUAGCUGGGUACGAGUUAAACAGAGAAACAGGCGAGUUCUCAGCUUAUUUGAACGGAACUUGUAAAUAUCGUAUCGAAUCAUAUACACUGGAGUACAAGUCUACGAUUACGGGUGUAAUAUCCAAAGGCAGGCUCAGGAAGUUGAAGGGUGUUAGAGUUUACGUUGUUUUGCUGUGGCUAAACAUCGUGGAAGUGAGUCGGGAUGGCGAUGAUCUCGAUUUCUCUGUUGGGAUUGCUUCAGCCAGCUUUCCAGUUGACAACUUUGAGGAGUCUCCGCAGUGUGGGUGUGGGUUUGAUUGCGACAAGUUGAAGGAUGGCCUUGUUUCUUCUUCUUAAUUUGUUAGUUGAGAUUCGUAUUUCUGAUUGUAACGGGCUCGGAUUUGUGAGCUGAGCUUGUAGGAAUUGUAUGCUGCAGCUAUAAUGUGUUCUCCAUCAUAUGAAAUGAAUAUUUUUCAUUUUCUAGCUUCAAUUUCUCCCACCAAAAUUUAGAUUUUUUGUAAAUUGGAAGGUACAUAAUUUGCGCUUUGUGAGGCGAGGGAAAGGGAUAAGACUUAAUGGGAUUCAUUAAGUGGAAAUGAAGCAGGAUCAGAGGGAAAAUUUUUGGUCUUGGGAAUUGAAUUGGGAUCACAAGAGAAAGAAGAAUCCAGCAUUUCUGCUCUGAUUGAUCAUUUUCAUGCCCUCUGAGCAACUGAAUCAGCUGUUGAGGAAAGUAGCCAACAUAGUUAUUGGACCAAGAAGAGAGAACACUAGUAAUCUGCCAAUAGAAACGGUAAAGAUGGUUAGUUUUUGAAAGGGGUGUGACGUUACAUAGA